CAGCCGCCACGGUAAUACGGAGGGUGCAAGCGUUAUCCGGAUUUAUUGGGUUUAAAGUGUCCGUAGGCGGACUUAUAAGUCAGUGGUGAAAGCCUGUCGCUUAACGAUAGAACUGCCAUUGAUACUGUAAGUCUUGAGUAUAUUUGAGGUAGCUGGAAUAAGUAGUGUAGCGGUGAAAUGCAUAGAUAUUACUUAGAACACCAAUUGCGAAGGCAGGUUACCAAGAUAUAACUGACGCUGAGGGACGAAAGCGUGGGUAGCGAACAGGAUUAGAUACCCCUGUAGUCCCUGUCUCUUAUAC
rnacentral:rRNA from 1 species